CAUUAGAUGGCUGAAAGUAAGCAAUGGUCUCUUAAACCAUCCUAUAGUAAAUUUACAAUUACUUCUAGUGG
rnacentral:tRNA from 1 species